AAGUAAUGUUAAUACUUGCAUGUUAGUUUUUGUAAGUAAUUAAGUAAUGUUAACAAUUGCAUGUUAAUUUUUUUUAAGUAAUUAAUACUUGCAUGUUAGUUUUUGUAAGUAAUUAAGUAAUGUUAACAAUUACAUGUUAAUUUUUUUUAAGUAAUUAAUACUUGCAUGUUAGUUUUUGUAAGUAAUUAAGUAAUGUUAAUACUUGCAUGUUAGUUUUUGUAAGUAAUUAAGUAAUGUUAACAAUUGCAUGUUAAUUUUUUUUAAGUAAUUAAUACUUGCAUGUUAGUUUUUGUAAGUAAUUAAGUAAUGUUAAUACUUGCAUGUUAGUUUUUGUAAGUAAUUAAGUAAUGUUAACAAUUGCAUGUUAAUUUUUUUUAAGUAAUUAAUACUUGCAUGUUAGUUUUUGUAAGUAAUUAAGUAUUGUUAACAAUUACAUGUUAAUUUUUUUUAAGUAA
rnacentral:lncRNA from 1 species